rnacentral:rRNA from 1 species
ANUACCGCGGUAAUACGUAGGUGGCAAGCGUUAUCCGGAUUUACUGGGUGUAAAGGGAGCGUAGACGGAUGGACAAGUCUGAUGUGAAAGGCUGGGGCUCAACCCCGGGACUGCAUUGGAAACUGCCCGUCUUGAGUGCCGGAGAGGUAAGCGGAAUUCCUAGUGUAGCGGUGAAAUGCGUAGAUAUUAGGAGGAACACCAGUGGCGAAGGCGGCUUACUGGACGGUAACUGACGUUGAGGCUCGAAAGCGUGGGGAGCAAACAGGAUUAGAUACCCUGGUAGUCCACGCGGUAAACGAUGAAUGCUAGGUGUCGGGUGACAAAGUCAUUCGGUGCCGCCGCAAACGCAUUAAGCAUUCCACCUGGGGAGU